GCGCAGCAGUCGCGAAUUUUUCUCAAUGGGGGAAACCCUGAAGGAGCGACGCCGCGUGGAGGAUGAAGGCUUUCGGGUUGUAAACUCCUGUCAUUUGGGAACAAGUUGCACACGUUAACUGCGUGGGCAUUGAUAGUACCAGAAGAGGAAGGGACGGCUAACUCUGUGCCAGCAGCCGCGGUAAUACAGAGGUCCCAAGCGUUGUUCGGAUUCAUUGGGCGUAAAGGGUGCGUAGGUGGCGCUGUAAGUCGGGUGUGAAAUUUCGGAGCUUAACUCCGAAACUGCAUUCGAUACUGCGGUGCUUGAGGACUGGAGAGGAGACUGGAAUUCAUGGUGUAGCAGUGAAAUGCGUAGAGAUCAUGAGGAAGACCAGUGGCGAAGGCGGGUCUCUGGACAGUUCCUGACACUGAGGCACGAAGGCCAGGGGAGCAAACGGGAUUAGAUACCCCUGUAGU
rnacentral:rRNA from 1 species